rnacentral:rRNA from 1 species
AUUGAACGCUGGCGGCAGGCCUAACACAUGCAAGUCGAACGAGUGGCGGACGGGUGAGUAAGUCCGGGAAACCGCCCCGAGGAGGGGGAUUACUUCUGGAAACGGUUGCCUAAUCCGCCUACCAAUGGGUGUGGCCAGAUGGGAUUAGCUAGUAGGUGGGGUAACGGCUCACCUAGGCGACGAUCCCUAGCUGGUCUGAGAGGAUGACCAGCCACACUGGAACUGAGACACGGUCCAGACUCCUACGGGAGGCAACAGUGGGGAAUAUUGCACAAUGGGCGCAACCCUGACGCAGCCAUGCCGCGUGAAUGAAGAAGGCCUUCGGGUUGUAAAGUUCUUUCGGUAGCGAGACGUUAACUACAGAAGAAGCACCGGCUAACUCCGUGCCAGCAGCCGCGGUAAUUC